UACAGAGGGGGCUAGCGUUGUUCGGAAUUACUGGGCGUAAAGGGCGCGUAGGCGGCCUGCUAAGUCACACGUGAAAUCCCUCGGCUCAACCGGGGAACUGCGUGUGAUACUGGCGGGCUCGAAUUCGGGAGAGGGAUGUGGAAUUCCAGGUGUAGCGGUGAAAUGCGUAGAUAUCUGGAGGAACACCGGUGGCGAAGGCGGCAUCCUGGACCGAGAUUGACGCUGAUGCGCGAAAGCUAGGGUAGCAAACGGG
rnacentral:rRNA from 1 species